rnacentral:tRNA from 2 species
CUUUGGUUAGCUCAGUUGGUGGAGCGCUUCACUGGAAAUGGAGAGGUCCCGGUUUCAAUACCCGAACCAAGCA